rnacentral:lncRNA from 1 species
CUGGUAACCUCCCACACAUCCCCUCCCCUCAGCCAGCAUCAUAAUCCCCUUAGCCAGCACACCAAUUCCCCCCAUUUCUGGAUGUACCCCUAAACGUAGGGGUACCUCUUUAAAUCAUACAUCCCCUGGUAGCCCUGAUCUGGGUGAACAACAUAUCAAAAAAUCACCCAGAUCAGACCAGGGGUUCGGGAAAAGUAUGGAGGGAAUAAAAUGACCGACCGCACGAACUGCGAUAGCCGAAUUCGGUUCCAUGUGAAUGGGCCCUGCGGUCGGUCCUGGCAUAAGGGAAUAAAAUACACGAAAACCUCUAGCUAUAGAGGCUAGGGAG